rnacentral:rRNA from 1 species
GGGAGGAAUAUUGGGCAAUGGGCGAAAGCCUGACCCAGCAACGCCGCGUGGAGGACGAAGGCCUUCGGGUCGUAAACUCCUUUUGAGGGAGACGAGAAAGGACGGUAUCCCUCGAAUAAGCCACGGCUAACUACGUGCCAGCAGCCGCGGUAAAACGUAGGUGGCGAGCGUUAUCCGGAUUCAUUGGGCGUAAAGAGCUUGUAGGUGGUCUCGUAAGUUGGACGUGAAAACUCCGGGCUUAACUUGGAGAGGCCGUUCAAUACUGCGGGACUAGAGGAUGUCAGAGGGGAGUGGAAUUCCUGGUGUAGCAGUGAAAUGCGUAGAUAUCAGGAGGAACACCCGUGGCGAAGGCGGCUCCCUGGGGCAUCCCUGACACUGAGAAGCGAAAGCUAGGGGAGCAAACGGGAUUAGAAACCCGAGUAGUCC